rnacentral:rRNA from 1 species
AGCUUGCUACACCAUAGACUGUGAGUUGCGAACGGGUGAGUAACGCGUAGGUAACCUGCCUAUUAGAGGGGGAUAACUAUUGGAAACGAUAGCUAAUACCGCAUAACAGUAUGUAACACAUGUUAGAUGCUUGAAAGAUGCAAUUGCAUCGCUAGUAGAUGGACCUGCGUUGUAUUAGCUAGUAGGUAGGGUAAAGGCCUACCUAGGCAACGAUACAUAGCCGACCUGAGAGGGUGAUCGGCCACACUGGGACUGAGACACGGCCCAGACUCCUACGGGAGGCAGCAGUAGGGAAUCUUCGGCAAUGGGGGGAACCCUGACCGAGCAACGCCGCGUGAGUGAAGAAGGUUUUCGGAUCGUAAAGCUCUGUUGUUAAGGAAGAACGAGUGUGAGAAUGGAAAGUUCAUACUGUGACGGUACUUAACCAGAAAGGGACGGCUAACUACGUGCCAGCAGCCGCGGUAAUACGUAGGUCCCGAGCGUUGUCCGGAUUUAUUGGGCGUAAAGCGAGCGCAGGCGGUUAGAAAAGUCUGAAGUGAAAGGCAGUGGCUCAACCAUUGUAGGCUUUGGAAACUGUUUAACUUGAGUGCAGAAGGGGAGAGUGGAAUUCCAUGUGUAGCGGUGAAAUGCGUAGAUAUAUGGAGGAACACCGGUGGCGAAAGCGGCUCUCUGGUCUGUAACUGACGCUGAGGCUCGAAAGCGUGGGGAGCGAACAGGAUUAGAUACCCUGGUAGUCCACGCCGUAAACGAUGAGUGCUAGGUGUUAGGUCCUUUCCGGGA